UACAGAGGUGGCAAGCGUUGUUCGGAAUUACUGGGCGUAAAGGGCGCGUAGGCGGUUCGUUAAGUCCUGUGUGAAAUCCCCCGGCUCAACUGGGGAACUGCACAGGAAACUAGCGGGCUUGAGUUCGGGAGAGGGAAGCGGAAUUCCGGGUGUAGCGGUGAAAUGCGUAGAUAUCCGGAGGAACACCGGUGGCGAAGGCGGCUUCCUGGACCGGACACUGACGCUGAGGCGCGAAAGCUAGGGGAGCAAACGGG
rnacentral:rRNA from 1 species